AUUGAACGCUGGCGGCAGGCCUAACACAUGCAAGUCGAGCGGAUGAAGGGAGCUUGCUCCUGGAUUCAGCGGCGGACGGGUGAGUAAUGCCUAGGAAUCUGCCUGGUAGUGGGGGAUAACGUCCGGAAACGGGCGCUAAUACCGCAUACGUCCUGAGGGAGAAAGUGGGGGAUCUUCGGACCUCACGCUACCAGAUGAGCCUAGGUCGGAUUAGCUAGUUGGUGGGGUAAAGGCCUACCAAGGCGACGAUCCGUAACUGGUCUGAGAGGAUGAUCAGUCACACUGGAACUGAGACACGGUCCAGACUCCUAAGGGAGGCAGCAGUGGGGAAUAUUGGACAAUGGGCGAAAGCCUGAUCCAGCCAUGCCGCGUGUGUGAAGAAGGUCUUCGGAUUGUAAAGCACUUUAAGUUGGGAGGAAGGGCAGUAAGUUAAUACCUUGCUGUUUUGACGUUACCAACAGAAUAAGCACCGGCUAACUUCGUG
rnacentral:rRNA from 1 species